GCCCGAGUGGCGAAAUUGGCAGACGCAAGGGACUCAAAAUCCCUCGCCCUCACGGGCAUGUCGGUUCAAGUCCGACCUCGGGCACCA
rnacentral:tRNA from 1 species